GAAUCUGAGAUCAACCCUCAUCUAGCAGGAAGUUUCUAGAACACUGAACAACUGAAUCUGAGAUCAACCCUCAUCUAGCAGGAAGUCUCUAGAACACUAAACAACUGAAUCUGAGAUCAACCCUCAUCUAGCAGGAAGUUUCUAUACUCAACGAUAAUGAUAAUGGGUAAAUAAGCUCGAGAGCAACCCUCAUCUCGCAGGAAGUCUCUCUACUCAAUGAUAAUGAUAACAAUACUGGGAGGCCUAUAUCUGAC
rnacentral:lncRNA from 1 species